UCGUGAUAGUGAACAAGUCUCAUGAGAUCUGAUGGGUUUAUCAGGAGGUUCCGCUUUUGCGUCCUCCUCAUUUUCUCUUGCUGCCGCCAGGUAAGAAGUGCCCUUCACCUUCUGAGGCCUCCCCAGCCAUGUGGAACUAGCCAUCUUUCUCCUCUCUUUUAACAAAGCACCCUCGCUGUUGGUCCCUGCAAGCUUCAAAGAAUAAAAGGCAAUGCAGAGAAGGUCCUCUCAGAUCUACCAUGUGAGUGCACACAUCCUUCCAGUCAACCAGAGUUUUCCAAAGUCCAAAUAGCUGUCACCAGUGAUGGGCUCUUCCUGAGACAGUAUGAACGAAUCCCUACCCUGCCCUGUUCCCGCUUAAUGUCUUUCCUCAUCCAAAUGACAAUGGUAUGUUUGCCGCACAGCCUGCCCGCUACUGACCCCUGCUCCCAGGUCUGUGAAAAAGACCCGGCCUUAGUGAGGUUUGUCAUUCAGGAAGCUGCUCAAGUGUUGAGGGCUGCAGAGAAUUCACUUCUGCUCAGUCCUUGAAGACAUUUCUCUGGGCGUGACUUCCAGACUCUGGUGGGCAUUGGCGAGAACGACAGAGAGAAAUGAUGCAGUGGUCAACAGGACUUCCACACAAAUGUCAAUGCUUGGUGGGGUCGCUUUGGGACUCUGAGAUUCUCACGCAGGAAGUUUACUGGAGCAUGUUCUUAGGAACAACACCUGUCUCUAAUGUGAGAGGAGAAAGAAGAAGGCAAAGGGAGAGUCUGAACCUUGAUGCAGUCACAGCACAGACCUGAGCUGACCCUGCAGGGAGCUCUGGGGCUGGGAUGGUUCUGCAGAGUCCAGUGCGUGCCAGGCCAGCUUGCAUGGGCUUGGGCAGAGCUGGUGGUGCGCACUUCUUCCCAACUUCACAUUCAAUGACAUCAUGUUGAUAUCUUGAAACUGGUGGCACAUACGUUUAUAACACAAAAAUAGGCAAUGCUAGAAACCAGGGGUUCUCCCACUUCCCUUGCCUAGAAAGCUGGUUUGCCAGAAAAGCCACAGUGAAGAAAGAUUGCUUCCAUAUCUAUCUCUGUGCCCAAAUUCAUGCAAUAAAUUCUUCGCUGUUGUUUGUUGUUGUUUUUGAGAUGGAGUCUCACUCUGUCACUCAGGCUGGAGUGCAGUGGCACGCUCUCGGCUCACUGCAACCUCCGCCUCCCGCGUCCAAGCAAUUCUUCUAUCUCAGCCUCCCGAAUAGGUGAGACUACAGGUGUGUACCACCAAGCCUGGCUAAUUUUUUUUUUUAGUAGAGACGGGAUUUCACUGUGUUAGCCAGGAUGUUCUCGAUCUCCUGACCUCCUGAUCCGCCUGCCUCAGCCUCCGAAAGUGCUGGGAUUACAAGUGUGAGCCACCGCUCCCGGCCCCAGUAAAUUCUUAAUUGUUAGCAGUGCCACAGUAGAAGGAAUUCUAUACAAUAAUCCUAAGUCUUGUAUUGUUAUAGCUUCUCUAGGCCAAGCCUCCUCUGUUCUACCAAGUAUUAAUCUAAUCUCAGGAUUUCUAUCCCUGCCAUGCUAUCAGUGAUUUUUCUUACUGCCUUUCUGAAAGAGGCAACUAAGCUCCCAUGAAAAUGGAACAAUCUCUUUAAGAUACAACUUAGUGAUAUGACCUCCAAAGCCCAAGUGACAGAGUUAUCAAAGAAGUAUCUAAUAAGUACUAGAACGAUCAAACAAUAUCCUGAAUAAAGUACUUAGAAAGAAAAAAGAAACCCAGCUGAAAUGAUUACUGAAAUGAUUUUGUUUAAAUGUAUUGCUAUGCCUUUACUUGUAAACAUGGUCAUUCAUACUAAUGAAGUAGAAUAACAAUAAUUAUGGCAUGUAUUUGUUUAAUGAAGUCAUAAAAGAUUUUUGCAGCCAGUUUAGGGUGCAGAAGGUAGGAGAAGAUUUUAGAUACAUUAGCCAAGAAUUCAACCAAAGAAUUUCAGUUAAAAUCACUCCAGCUAUUUUAAAAGUUGAUUUUAAACUUAGUCCAUCCUGAGAAGGAUAUUGCUGUAUGCAACUCAAUAUCCAAUUGCUGUAUGCAAAUACUAUUAUCUUUAAGAAACUCAGAGAGCUGGUAUGGGAGAGUUCACCAUUAGUUUGGGUAGCAGAAAUAUUUAAGGGUACUAUUCUGAACAAAGCUGCACAUGUAUCAGAGUUCUUUCUUCUUCUGAGCUCUUUAUAGAAAAAGGCAACUAAAGGAAGAUCCAAGAUUUGACAGGCACAGAUUAUACAGAAUUUCUUCUCAGCUUUGCACCCUACAUCCUAUACCCAUAUUAACUCCUGGCAAUGUAGUAAUUGCAAAAACAUCAGUUAGUUAGGCAAUCAAUUUAUGAAAAAGAAAUAAAUAGGCAUAAAAUGGGGGGGAAGUUGUCCUGAUUUUAAAUAAGGCUAGAAUGUGGAAACUCAAUAAGACAAGCAUGGAUGAUUCUGAAAUUUAGCGAUUAAAAAGUGACUCAGUGUUGACUAUAUCUAUUCUAUCGGCUACCACAUUUCUAUAACAAGCAUCAAAGAAGACAGAAAGUGAGGACUCCAACAAAUAUUCUUCCAUGACAUGAAAUCAUUGGGAGCAAACUGUCUUAUACAUCACAGCUCAGCACAGAGUCUAUUUCAAUAUCAUCUUCUUAAAUGAAUUGAUGAGAUAUAGCUAGGGCCACAUUUGGAUUCUGUAAUCAGUUUCUUAUUUCCUCUCCUGUUAUAUUCAUUGCUUCAUUCAAAAAAACUGUGUUAUUUUCUGUACUGUCAUAUUCUACUAGGGGCUAGGGAUACAGAGAAUCUUGUGUCUUUCUGAAGACAGAUAUCAUCCAGAUAAUAAAGUACAGUAAUGGAGAUAAUAAAAAACAGAGGGACCCUGAACUGUGUGGGGGGGGGUGGGGGUGGUGGUGGUGCGUGUGUGUGUGUGUGUGUAUGCAUGUAUGUCUUGGUGUGUGAUUAAAUGCAUUUUUCUCUUGAAUGAGGUAUUCAGAGUAUUGAUAAUUAAGAGCAAAGCUUCCGUUUUUUGGACUGUAAAAUAUAAACCCAGUUACUGUUUCUGCUGAUCAAACAGGGGAUAUUGAGAGGAUGAAGGAAUGUAGCCUGGAGCCCUAAAAAUAAUCUGGCCUAUUUUUCCUGAUUUUAAACUGAAAUACAUCUGAGCCAGUCUUUCAACAAUUCAGCAAUAUUUUUAUUUUCCUUUUACAUGGAAUUCACAUGCUAGGUGCUGAGGACUGAAAGAGGAAUGGAGAAAACCCAAGUUGUUCUCAAAGUCUUACUAAGCAAUAAAUUCCAAAUAUCUGGUAUACCAUGAGCCUUUUAAAAUUUUGAUGUAAUUUUAUAAUGCCAUUCAGGAAUAUAAAUGUUCUAAUUGAUAUCUACCUAUAAAAUUUUAGCCUAGAUAAAUGAGUUGUUUCACAAAGAAUUUUGGUAGAACAUGCAUUUACCUUUAUAACAAGCAAACAGAACAAUGGGAUAGAUCCUUGUUCAUGUCUGGCUGUCAAACUUUUUACAUACAGCUUUAGGUCUCUGCCUUUAAAAAUGGAAGAAACUAGUUCUUAAAAUUAAGUCCAUUCCAGGGCGUAUGUACAAACAAAUUUUGGAAAGUUUACAUAUUGACUGAGUCUACUUCUGCCCAACUGGAUUUCUCAGGUCAUGCUCAGCAUAUCUUGCAAACAAUGUUAUAGGAAACUAUGCCUUGUAAGCUCAUGGAAUUUGAACAUGGCUUCUGAUUUUAACACAGGCUCUCUGCAGCCAGUUAGCUCUAGUGAGAAAUGACACUGACCAUCUGGGGGCAGUUGUUUUGCUUUUGCUUAUUUUUCUAUAGGCAUUUUGUUCUAGAUCAGUCUUUUUAGAAAUGGAUAUUGUUAUCUGUUGAUAGGGAAAAUGGGCGAGAGAAUAGUCCAACAUCUGUACACAUAUAGCACCACCACUGAAAAACAGCAAAACAAAACCAAGAGCUUAAUGAUUAUGCCCUAUAGACAGUUGAAACAGCAAUAGUAUCUCUUAAUUUAAAGGAUGGCAUCUUGACCUGAUAUGUGCUGGGAAAACAAUCCUCCUCCUGACUUAAGUGGUUCUCCAUUAUAUAUCCAGGAAUUAUAUAUCCAGGAAUAUUUGGUACAGAUGCUGGCAGCUGUAUUGACCAGAGAGGCAUAACAGGGAAGCUGCAGCAGCCCCCAGAAGAUAGGAGAUUGGGAGGUGGUGCUUACAAAGAAGCCACCCUUUGCCCUUAAUCAAUCGUACUAGAUGGGGAUUUGUAUUUUGCAAACAUCAAUGAGAUCAAUGAGAUCUUGAAUGAGAAUUGAUCAAGAUCAAGGAGAUUUGUUGAAGUUGUACAUGGCAAGCAAUAGGCCUAGUAUAAGAGCACAGUGCCCUUUCCUCUGAAGCAUAAAGUUCUUUUCUCACCAUAGGUUUUUAUUGAUGAGCACUAAAAAGUGAACAGAAAAUGCACACCUGUUACUUCCAAAUUGGACAUAUUUUCCUUAGUAGACCUUCAAAAGAAAAAGGGAGUUAAAUCUGCCGCUGUGAAAGUGUUUCCCAUGCCUUGGCUAAGUUGUGAGAUAAAUCAGUUUAGAAAUGCCAUGAGUAGAAAGAGAAAUGGUUAGAACUCAUGCUCAAAAACACAAGUCCUUUGAUUGGAAAACAAAGAUAGGUAAAGCCUGUAGACUGAAGAUCCCAAAGAACUUGAUCUGAAUGUCAGACACUCAAGAAAUAAGUUUGUAAAAGAAGGCUUACAAUUUUCAUUACAAUUAGGUGACAUGAAUGCAAUUUUAUACCUAUUCAGUACUUUGAUUAAUGCUAUUUUUUCCAGGUUUUUUGAUCUAGAAUCUCUUCUUGGCUAAGCAUAUAGGAUGCCACUUCUUGCUACCUCCACAGCAAUACAUCACCUGGACAGCUUGCCACUCUUUGUUGCCUUGAACUUCUCUGAUGUUUAGGCAGCCCAUUCUGGUACUGAGAACACAGUGAAUGAGCUACAUCCUCCUGCUUUCUUCUUCUAUUAUUACUUUUACCUGAUUUCUUCUCAGGAGGAAGCUGUACAUUUUAACAGGACAGAUAGGAGGAAAAGCAACUAUUUUUCUGCCGAGAUAACAAUUGACAACUUGGGGCAGUAUGUGCAGAGUUUUCCUGGAGUUGUAUUAAAAAUUAUCUGAUAAGCUGCCUUUGGGUCUGUGUGUUGUUUUCUUUGUGUCGGGCAUGCAGUGGGAUCU
rnacentral:lncRNA from 1 species